CAUGCAAGUCGAACGAUGAAGCCCUUCGGGGUGGAUUAGUGGCGAACGGGUGAGUAACACGUGGGCAAUCUGCCCUGCACUCUGGGACAAGCCCUGGAAACGGGGUCUAAUACCGGAUAUCACUUUUCCUCGCAUGGGGGAGGGUUGAAAGCUCCGGCGGUGCAGGAUGAGCCCGCGGCCUAUCAGCUUGUUGGUGGGGUGAUGGCCUACCAAGGCGACGACGGGUAGCCGGCCUGAGAGGGCGACCGGCCACACUGGGACUGAGACACGGCCCAGACUCCUACGGGAGGCAGCAGUGGGGAAUAUUGCACAAUGGGCGGAAGCCUGAUGCAGCGACGCCGCGUGAGGGAUGACGGCCUUCGGGUUGUAAACCUCUUUCAGCAGGGAAGAAGCGUGAGUGACGGUACCUGCAGAAGAAGCGCCGGCUAACUACGUGCCAGCAGCCGCGGUAAUACGUAGGGCGCAAGCGUUGUCCGGAAUUAUUGGGCGUAAAGAGCUCGUAGGCGGCUUGUCGCGUCGGUUGUGAAAGCCCGGGGCUUAACCCCGGGUCUGCAGUCGAUACGGGCAGGCUAGAGUUCGGUAGGGGAGAUCGGAAUUCCUGGUGUAGCGGUGAAAUGCGCAGAUAUCAGGAGGAACACCGGUGGCGAAGGCGGAUCUCUGGGCCGAUACUGACGCUGAGGAGCGAAAGCGU
rnacentral:rRNA from 1 species